CAACAAUACUUGUAUGUCAGCAUGUGGAUUUGUAUGUUGAAUAUUACCUUAGCAAUGUCUUAAGGUAAAUAGUGAUAGAUAUGAUAAUUAAUGUUGAGUGUUUGCUUACGUGCCUGCUUUUGUACAUUUAAUGUGGCCCCAUGUUUGGCUUAAGAUGAUUAUUGCUAGCUGAGCUCACAUAUUGUUAGUUUCUCACUAUAUAUUACUUGUGUAUAACUUGGAAAAGGAACAAAAAUAGACAACAUCAUCAAAACAGAC
rnacentral:lncRNA from 1 species